CGGCCUGUGAGGACAAUCUGAAACCACGAAGCAUCUUUUGCAACUGAUUUUAUUAAUGAUGCCGUUAUUCUGCAAUUCUGAGGCCA